AAAGAUACUCCUACGGAGCCCUUUUUUAUGUGUGUAUGUGUUUUUGAUAUAAAAAUGAUGUUUGCAACAAAUAGAGUGUGGGAAUGAGAAAAGAAUUCAUUGAUUAUAUUUUUGUGUUUGGCAAGACCUUCAGACUUGUGCCUACGUACCAACAUAAAAUGAGGGAUCAAAACCUCGUAGUUCGUGGUAACAAUUUCAAAGUGAAUGCAUUGCUUUUAACAAAAAUUUAAGUUUAACGAAGG
rnacentral:lncRNA from 1 species